UUCCGGUUGAUCCCGCCGGACCCCACUGCUAUCGAGGUGGGACUUAGCCAUGCUAGUCGAACGAACAGAACUAUGUCUGUAAGUGGCAUACUGCUCAGUAACACGUAGCUAACCUACCCUUAGGACGUGGAUACCCCCGAGAAAUUGGGGUUAAUCCGCGAUAGAUGUAAUGUCCUGGAAUGGUAUUACGUCUAAAGGUAUUUCAUACAUGUUUGAAAUAUGCCUAAGGAUGGGGCUGCGGCCGAUCAGGCUGUUGGUGAGGUAAUGGCUCACCAAACCUUUGACCGGUACGGGCCAUGAGAGUGGUAGCCCGGAGAUGGACACUGAGACAAGGGUCCAGGCCCUAAGGGGCGCAGCAACCGCGAAACCUCCACAAUGCACUCACGUGCGAUGGGGCUAUCUCGAGUGCCACCUGAUGAAGGUGGCUUUUCCUUGGCCUUCAAAGCCUUGGGAAUAAGAGGGGGGCAAGACUGGUGUCAGCCGCCGCGGUAACACCAGCCCCUCGAGUGGUGGGGAUGUUUAUUUGGCCUAAAGCGUCCGUAGCCGGCCGUGAAAGUCUUCCGUUAAAUCCAGCGUCUCAAGCGUUGGACCGCGGGAGAUACUACAUGGCUAGAGAGUGGGAGAGGUCAGCGGUAUUCUGGGGGUAGGGGCGAAAUCCUUUGAUCCCCGGAGGACCACCAGUGGCGAAGGCUGCUGACUAGAACACGUCUGACGGUCAGGGACGAAAGCUGGGGUAGCGAACCGGAUUAGAUACCCGGGUAGUCCCAGCCGUAAACGAUGCAUGCUAGUGUUGGGUUGGCCACGAG
rnacentral:rRNA from 1 species